rnacentral:misc_RNA from 1 species
GAUGAAGAACGCAGCGAAAUGCGAUAAGUAAUGUGAAUUGCAGAAUUCAGUGAAUCAUCGAAUCUUUGAACGCACAUUGCGCCCAUUAGUAUUCUAGUGGGCAUGCCUGUUCGAGCGUCAUUAAUUCCACUUAAGCCCUGCUUAGUGUUGGGAAUCUACUCUAGUGGUGCUACCCUGGAGCUACCCCUGAAAGGGGGCUGGCCCGGUAGCUACCCUGUAGUUCCUCAAAGAUAGUGCGCGGAGUUGCGUGGUCCUCUGAGCUUAGUAACUAUACACCUAGCUUUUGAGUGUCCCGCGGUGCCUGCCGUUUAAACCCCAUCUUUUAAUGGUUGACCUCGGAUCAGGUAGGAAUACCCGCUGAACUUAAGCAUAUCAAUAAGCGGAGGA